AUGGUAAUUAUCGCUGUGAGGUCGUCCCCAGUCGGUGGGCAGGCGCCCAGUACCACGGAGGGACUGGUUCCCAGUUCAGCGCCGCUGGGCUGCGUGGGGCAGGAGCACACCUCAUGGGCGCCCGGCGCACCGAGCCUCGGCAUUUGCCACCUGCACCUCGGGGCUUCCUGCCGAGCCCCCCAAAGCCCCGCGGGGUUCGGCUUCUCCCGCCAGCCCCCGCUCAGCUGCGGGGCUCCCCUCAGCCCGCCCCGCCCGCCCCGCUGCCCCUCGGCACGGAGAGCACCGGGGGGCCCCGAGGCGCCGCCGGAUCGCGCCCCACGCCCCGGGACGCAGCCCUGUCGGGAUAGAGCCCUGUCGGGACAGAGCCCCGUGGGGACGCAGCCCCGCCGCCUCAGCGCGCCUUACCCCAGCCCGCGGCGCCGGCCGCUGUCUCCAUGCGCCUCAGCCGCGGCUCCCCGGCGGGCGGGAGGCGAGACGGGCGCGGCCGCCGCCUCCUCCUCCUCCCUCAGCCGCCGCCGGCUGCUGGACGGGGGGCGUGUGGAGGCGGCCGACCUCCGCCCCGCCGGGGCCGGCCGCCGCGGCCCCCCCCGGCCGGCCCUGCCCGCCGCCGCCGCCGGGGGGAGAGGAGGGGCGCCCCCGGGGCAGGCCGCGGGGAGGGGGGCUCCGGGCUGCGCAUCCCCGGGGGCCGGCCGCGGCCUAGGGGGGUCCCGCCCGGCCCCUUCCCCGCCCCGGUGCCGGCUCUGGGGAACGGGAGCGCUGCAGGGGCUCGGGCUCCCAGCUGGAGGCGGCUGCUGGCUCCCCGGGAGCUGCGGCGGCGGCGGAGGGAGGGAGGGGAAGGAGGGAAAGGGAAGGGAAGGGAAGGAGAGGAGGGCACGGCCGGGAUCAGCCGGCGCUGCGGGGGAAGCGGUGCGGGCGGCUCGGGGCGAUCCUGCAGGAUUCAGUGCAAGGCACAGCUGGAACACGGCUGCACUAGGGCGGCACGCUUCUGCUGGGGAUCUCGGAAAUGUUUGCCAUCACACGGGAUAA
rnacentral:lncRNA from 1 species